rnacentral:rRNA from 1 species
GAGAUCGAUCAGCCAUGCGAGUUGAAUGUUCUUCGUGAACAUGGCGGACUGCUCAGUAACACGUGGACAACCUACCCUUGGAUCUGGGAUAAACCCGGGAAACUGGGCAUAAUACCGGAUAAGCCACAUAUGCUGGAAUGCUUUGUGGCUCAAAGCUCCGGCGUCCAAGGAUGGGUCUGCGGCCUAUCAGGGUAGUAGUGGGUGUAAUGUACCUACUAGCCUACGACGGGUACGGGUUGUGAGAGCAAGAGCCCGGAGAUGGAUUCUGAGACACGAAUCCAGGCCCUACGGGGUGCAGCAGGCGCGAAAACUUUACAAUGCGGGAAACCGCGAUAAGGGAAUCUCGAGUGCCAGCAUAUAAUGUUGGCUGUCCAGAUGCCUAAAAAGCAUUUGUUAGCAAGGGCCGGGCAAGACCGGUGCCAGCCGCCGCGGUAACACCGGCGGCCCGAGUGGUAACCGUUAUUAUUGGGUCUAAAGGGUCUGUAGCCGGCCGAAUAAGUCUCUUGGGAAAUCUGGCAGCUUAACUGUCAGGCAGUCAGGGGAUACUGUUCGGCUUGGGACCGGGAGAGGUGAGAGGUACCUCGGGGGUAGGGGUGAAAUCUUGUGAUCCUCGAGGGACCACCAGUGGCGAAGGCGUCUCACCAGAACGGGUCCGACGGUAAGGGACGAAAGCUAGGGGCACGAACCGGAUUAGAUACCCGGGUAGUCCUAGCCGUAAACGAUGCUUGCUAGGUGUCAGCCACGGUGCGACCGUGGUUGGUGCCGUAGGGAAGCCGUGAAGCGAGCCACCUGGGAAGUACGGCCGCAAGGCUGAAACUAAAGGAAUGGCGGGAGCACUACAACGGGGAGC